rnacentral:lncRNA from 1 species
GGGGAAAUUCAGUUUUAAGGUCAUUUCUCAGAACAAUUUUUGAUGAGAAUUGUAAGGAAAAAAUGAAAAUAGAAACUUUAUGGGUACCCCCUUUGGCUUGACCUUGAUAUAUGUGAUUAAAGGGUGUAUUUUCUACAAUACCGUGUCCCAGUUUUUGGAUAACUUGUUUCUAAAUGAAUUUAUAGGUCUCCAAAGAUGAAAGGUGAAAUGAGGUUUGG